rnacentral:tRNA from 1 species
UCCCUGGUGGCUGAGUGUAAAGAAUCCGCCUGCAGUGCGGGAGACCUGGGUUCUAUCCCUGGUGGGGAA